UACGUAGGGUGCGAGCGUUGUCCGGAAUUAUUGGGCGUAAAGAGCUCGUAGGCGGCUUGUCGCGUCGGAUGUGAAAGCCCGGGGCUUAACUCCGGGUCUGCAUUCGAUACGGGCAGGCUAGAGUUCGGUAGGGGAGAUCGGAAUUCCUGGUGUAGCGGUGAAAUGCGCAGAUAUCAGGAGGAACACCGGUGGCGAAGGCGGAUCUCUGGGCCGAUACUGACGCUGAGGAGCGAAAGCGUGGGGAGCGAACAGGAUUAGAACUACCCGUCGUA
rnacentral:rRNA from 1 species